AUUGAACGCUGGCGGAAUGCUUUACACAUGCAAGUCGAGCGGCAGCGCGGGGGCAACCCUGGCGGCGAGCGGCGAACGGGUGAGUAAUGCAUCGGAACGUACCCAGUCGUGGGGGAUAACGUGGCGAAAGUCACGCUAAUACCGCAUACGUCCUGAGGGAGAAAGCAGGGGAUCGCAAGACCUUGCGCGAUUGGAGCGGCCGAUGUCUGAUUAGCUAGUUGGUGGGUAAAGGCCUACCAAGGCGACGAUCAGUAGCUGGUCUGAGAGGACGAUCCGCCACACUGGAACUGAGACACGGUCCAGACUCCUACGGGAGGCAGCAGUGGGGAAUUUUGGACAAUGGGGGCAACCCUGAUCCAGCCAUGCCGCGUGAGUGAAGAAGGCC
rnacentral:rRNA from 1 species